rnacentral:rRNA from 1 species
CCUACGGGUGGCAGCAGUAAGGAAUAUUGCUCAAUGGGCGGAAGCCUGAAGCAGCCACGCCGCGUGGAGGAUGAAGGUUCUCCGAUUCUUAAAUCUUUUUGUUAGAGGAGAUAAUGUCGGUAUCUAACGAAUAAGCAACGGCUCCCUCCGGCCCAGCAGCCGCUGUAAUCCGGAGGGUGCACGCGUUACUCGGAAUCACUGGAGGUAAAGGGCGCGUAGGCGGGUUAUCAAGUCAGAUGUGAAAUCGUAGGGCUUAAACCUCAAACUGCCUUUGAAACUGUUAGUCUAGAGUAUGGGAGAGGUAGGUGGAAUGCGUGGUGUAGGGGUAAAAUGCGUAGAGAUCAAGAGGAAUACUGAUUGCGAAGGCGA